GAGUUUGAUCAUGGCUCAGAUUGAACGCUGGCGGCAGGCCUAACACAUGCAAGUCGGGCGAGAAAGCACUUCGGUGUGAGUAGAGCGGCGGACGGGUGAGUAACGCGUAGGAAUCUACCUAGUAGUGGGGGAUAACAUGUGGAAACGCAUGCUAAUACCGCAUACGCCCUACGGGGGAAAGAGGGGGACAUUUGCCUCUUGCUAUUAGAUGAGCCUGCGUAAGAUUAGCUAGUUGGUGGGGUAAGGGCCUACCAAGGCGACGAUCUUUAGCUGGCCUGAGAGGAUGAUCAGCCACACUGGGACUGAGACACGGCCCAGACUCCUACU
rnacentral:rRNA from 1 species